rnacentral:rRNA from 1 species
UCGGGAAUUUUGCUCAAUGGGCGCAAGCCUGAAGCAGCAACGCCGCGUGAGGGAUGAAGGCCUUCGGGUUGUAAACCUCUUUUAUCAGGGACGAUUAUGACGGUACCUGAUGAAUAAGCCACGGCUAACUACGUGCCAGCAGCCGCGGUAAUACGUAGGUGGCAAGCGUUGUCCGGAUUUACUGGGCGUAAAGAGCGCGCAGGCGGUCGAAUAAGUCGAAUGUGAAAGCCCCCGGCUUAACUGGGGAGGGUCGUUCGAUACUGUUCGACUUGAAGGCAGGAGAGGGCAGCAGAAUUCCCGGUGUAGUGGUGAAAUGCGUAGAUAUCGGGAGGAAUACCAGUGGCGAAGGCGGCUGCCUGGCCUGUUCUUGACGCUGAGGCGCGAAAGCUGGGGGAGCAAACGGG